AUUGAACGCUGGCGGCAGGCCUAACACAUGCAAGUCGAACGAGUGGCGGACGGGUGAGUAAUGUCUGGGAAACUUCCUGAUGGAGGGGGAUAACUACUGGACACGGUAGCUAAUACCGCAUACCAUCAGAUGUGCCCAGAUGGGCUUAGCUUGUUGGUGGGGUAACGGCUCACCAAGGCGACGAUCCCUAGCUGGUCUGAGAGGAUGACCAGCCACACUGGAACUGAGACACGGUCCAGAGUCCGACGGGAGGAAGGAGUGGGGAAUAGUGCAAAAUGGGCGCAAGCCUGAUGCAGCAAUGCAGCGUGUAUGAAGAAGGCCUUAGGGUUGUAAAGUACUUGCAGCGGGGAGGCGUUACCCGAAGAAGAAGCACCGGCUAACUACGUGCCAGCAGCCGCGGUAAUAC
rnacentral:rRNA from 1 species